AUAGGUAAAAUAAAAGAUCUUUUGAGUUGUGAUCAAAUACACAGUGUUCGGUUUCCGUUCGAAAGUAUUGUAGCCCGUAAUGACGAUAUUGAUAUAUAUAAUAAAAAGUAAAUUAUCCUGUAAAAAGAGCAACAAAAAUUAUACUUCAUAGCGUCGGCGGCAUUCAAAUAUGGCGGCAUUGCACUAAAUAUAAAUGUUAUCAACAUUUGAAAUAUUUUUGGAAGGCUGGGAAAAUGUUGUCGAAUACUUAGAUUGUAGUUAUCAUACAAGUGCGAUAAAGACAGCUAACGAGCAUCGGUUACCUGAUGGUAAACACUAACGCCGACCGCAGUCAAUGGACACCAGCCAGUCAAUAACAAUAAUGUAUGUGUUGAAACAAACUACUUAAUACAAAAUUAGCCUUGUCGUUUUUUUCCUAUCUAUAUAUA